rnacentral:lncRNA from 1 species
AAAAAGUUCACAAUACAAUAAGAGGAAUGGACAAAUAAUGUGUUUUGGAAAGGAGGUCCUUUGAAGUCAACUUUGAAAUUUAGCAUUCUAAAGGCAUGAGGCCUAGUUGCUCUUCAACAAGUUUAGCAUUCUAAAGGCAUGAGGCCUAGUUUCUCUUGAACUCCUUUAAGCAUGGGUAAGUCCUAAUUCUAAGUCCUUUU